UACGAAGGGGGCUAGCGUUGCUCGGAAUGACUGGGCGUAAAGGGCGCGUAGGCGGUUCAUACAGUCAGAUGUGAAAUUCCCGGGCUUAACCUGGGGGCUGCAUUUGAUACGUGUGGGCUUGAGUGAGGAAGAGGGUUGUGGAAUUCCCAGUGUAGAGGUGAAAUUCGUAGAUAUUGGGAAGAACACCGAUGGCGAAGGCGGCAUCCUGGUCCUUUACUGACGCUGAGGCGCGAAAGCGUGGGGAGCGAACAGG
rnacentral:rRNA from 1 species